rnacentral:rRNA from 1 species
UACGUAGGGUGCAAGCGUUGUCCGGAAUUAUUGGGCGUAAAGAGCUCGUAGGCGGUUUGUUGCGUCGGCUGUGAAAACUCAGGGCUUAACCCUGAGCUUGCAGUGGGUACGGGCAGACUAGAGUGCGGUAGGGGAGACUGGAAUUCCUGGUGUAGCGGUGAAAUGCGCAGAUAUCAGGAGGAACACCGGUGGCGAAGGCGGCGACCUGGGUAGAUACUGACGCUGAGGCGCGAAAGCGUGGGGAGCAAACGGG